rnacentral:rRNA from 1 species
UCGCGGCCUAUCAGCUUGUUGGCGGGGUAACGGCCCACCAAGGCGACGACGGGUAGCUGGUCUGAGAGGACGGCCAGCCACACUGGGACUGAGACACGGCCCAGACUCCUACGGGAGGCAGCAGUGGGGAAUCUUGCGCAAUGGGCGAAAGCCUGACGCAGCGACGCCGCGUGGGGGAUGAAGGCCCUCGGGUUGUAAACCCCUUUCGGCAGGGACGAAGCGAAAGUGACGGUACCUGCAGAAGAAGCUCCGGCUAACUACGUGCCAGCAGCCGCGGUAAGACGUAGGGAGCGAGCGUUGUCCGGAUUCAUUGGGCGUAAAGAGCGCGUAGGCGGCCGUGCAAGUCGGUUGUGAAAUCCCGGGGCUCAACCCCGGGACUGCGUCCGAUACUGCACGGCUCGAGGCAGGUAGGGGAGAGUGGAAUUCCCGGUGUAGCGGUGAAAUGCGCAGAUAUCGGGAGGAACACCGGUGGCGAAGGCGGCUCUCUGGACCUGUCCUGACGCUCAGGCGCGAAAGCUAGGGGAGCGAACAGGAUUAGAUACCCUGGUAGUCCUAGCCGUAAACGUUGGGCGCUAGGUGUGGGGAGAUAUCGACCCUCUCCGUGCCGAAGCUAACGCAUUAAGCGCCCCGCCUGGGGAGUACGGAAGCUUGGAAUUCGCCC